rnacentral:rRNA from 1 species
GACGAACGCUGGCGGCGCGCCUAACACAUGCAAGUCGAGCGAGAACCAGGGCUUCGGCCCUGGGGACAGCGGCGAACGGGUGAGUAACACGUGGGUAACCUGCCCUCGGCACCGGGAUAGACCCGGGGAAACCCGGAUUAAUACCGGACAGCCUCAUGAGCUCUCGGGCUCGUGAGAAAAGGUGGUCUUCGGCUUACCGGCUUGAGGAUGGGCCCGCGGCCGAUUAGCUUGUUGGUGAGGUAACGGCUCACCGAAGGCCGAUGAUCGGUAGCUGGUCUGAGAGGACGAUCAGCCACACUGGGACUGAGACACGGCCCAGACUCCUACGGGA